GGGAGUCGCCGCCGUCCCCGUGACUUCCUGCGUCCCGGUUCCCGGCCGGCGCUCUCGGCCGCCGCUCUCGGAGCGCCUCGCGGCCUCGCGGCGCGGGAAGCCUUCGUUCUCUGGCGCCGGCUUCGCUCCUCCGCGCCCCGCGGGCGUUCGGAGCCCCGGUCCGCGCCGCGGCGGCCCUCGGGGGCUGGGUCUGAGGCGUCCCCUGCCCGCCUGCUUUCCGCGGGCAGCUGGGUCUGAAGGAGCUGGGGGGGCUCUCCCGAGCUUUGGCGAUACUUCGCUUUACUCCGCGUUUCUGAGAGAAAAUAAGGGGGGCUCGUAGCUCUUUUCUCGGGCUGGAGGCUGGCAAACGGGCAGCUUGUGCUCAGAGGUACAGCUAAAAUCUGAAGCUGUAAUGCACCCAUGAGUGAGCAGCGCUAGUCAUGUACAUCAAUGGCCUCUGUACCAAUAAUUCCGGACUCUUACAACCAUGUGUUGGCAGAGUUUGAAUGUUUGGAUCCGUUGCUUUCUGCACUCAGGCUGGAUUCUAGUCGUCUGAAGUGCACAUGUAUAGAUGUGUCGAAGAGAUGGCUAGCUCUAGGCAGUUCAGGAGGAGGACUGAACCUUAUACAGAAAGAUGGUUGGAAGCAAAGACUCUUUCUCACUCAUAAGGAAGGUGCCGUUUCCCGGGUUGCCUGUUGUUUGCAUGAUGAAGACUAUGUUGCUGUUGCCACCAGCCAAGGUCUUGUAGUGGUCUGGGAGCUGAAUCAGGAACGUCGUGGGAAGCCAGAACGGAUUUACGUUUCCUCUGAGCAUAAGGGCAGAAAAGUCACAGCUCUGUGUUGGGAUACAGCUGCCCUUCGUGUUUUUGUAGGAGAUCAUGUGGGAAAAGUAUCGGCCAUCAAGAUUAACACAUCAAAACAAGGGAAGGCUGCUGCUACUUUUGUGAUGUUUCCUGUUCAGAUUAUAACCACUGUAGAUUCUCGGGUUGUUCAGCUUGAUUAUUUGGAUGGAAGACUGCUCAUAUCUUCACUUACACGCACUUACUUGUGUGAUACUGAGAGAGAGAAGUUCUGGAAAAUUGGUAAUAAAGAGAGAGAUGGAGAAUUCGGAGCAUGUUUCUUCCCUGUUGGAAAAAACAGUGGGAAUCAGCAGCCAUUAAUAUAUUGUGCUCGACCUGGCUCAAGGAUGUGGGAGGUGAACUUUGAUGGGGAAGUGCAAAGCACACAUCAGUUCAAGCAGCUGCUGUCCUCACCGCCUCUCCCUGUUGUUACUCUCAGGCUGGAUCCUCAUUAUACUAGUUCCAGCUGCUCUCCACAAUCUUUAUCUUUCCCCAAGCUACUGUAUUUGACUGAGCACUGUGUAAUGACCUGGACAGAAAGAGGCAUUUAUAUUUUUCUUCCCCAAAGUGUUCAAGUCUUACUCUGGAGUGAAGUAAAAGAUAUUCAGGAUAUUGCAGUUUACAAAAGUGAGUUGUUCUGUCUGCAUACAAAUGGAAAAGUGGCACACCUCUCCCUUCUGCUGGUAGACCGCUGCAUAGAGCGUCUGAUAAGAAGAGGGUUCUGGACCCUUGCUGCCAGGGUCUGUUGUCUCUUCCAAAAUUCAGUUAUUACUUGCAAAGCAAGAAAAAAUUUGCCUUUAGACAAGCUGGAGCACUUGAAGUCUCAGCUGGAUGCCUCAGCCCAACCAGAUCUCAUUAUGCAACUGGAAGAAUUAAUUUCAAAGUUGGAACCUCUAGAUUCUGCGUGCAGUAGUAGAAGGAGCAGUAUUUCAUCGCAUGAAAGCUUCAGUGUCUUAGACUCUGGAAUAUAUCGUGUUAUCAGUCGAAGAGGCAGUCAGUCAGAUGAAGAUUCAUGUUCUCUCCACAGUCAAACGUUCUCAGAAGAUGAGAGACUUAAAGAAUUUCCUGCACACCAGGAAGAUGAGCAAGUAGAACUUGACAAUGUAUCUCAUGCAUCUGUGACAGUUGAGGCUGACCGGAAUGAGACAUUUCUCCCAUUCAGUAUUCCUUUGUCAUUUCGUUCCCCAUCUCCUCUCGUCUCUCUCCAAGCUGUCAAAGAAAGCGUUUCCAGCUUUGUACGCAAAACUACUGAGAAGAUUGGCACACUACAUAUAAGUCCUGAUACUAGAGGGAGGCAAGAAGUAAAGGAUGACGAGGAGCUGCAGGAGUUGACUGUUAAUCUGGUAGCAUCUCCCCAGGAAGAGAAAGAGUUAGAACCACAGAGCUGCCAGCUUCCAGAGGAGGACCAUCUAAGAGAUCUCAAGGCUGCAACAGCAGAAGCUAUAGCCAAACUCCAGGAUCCCCUGGUUUUGUUAGAACCACAGUGCAUGAGAAGGGUUUUACAGGAAUGGAUUGUCUAUCUAGAAGGAACGUUUGGCAGCAAAGAGUCUUCUGCUUCCUCCACUAAGAAAAGUGAGACUGUGAGUGCUGAAGAACAGAGGGCAGUCCUAGAGGAAAACCUACAACUGGAUCCAACUGAUGGAGACCCAGUAGACAAAGAACAGAGUAGUAUCUUGGAAGACUGCACUGAAAAGGGAAAUACUGAUGAAACCUGUGUAACCAAAACCAAGUGUGAAAAUAGUACUGAUCUGAAGGGACCUUUGGACUGCGGCUUUCAAGUGUCUCCUCCGUGUGUUGUAGAGCCAGAUGUUCAGAAAGAUCUCAUUGAGUUGACAACACUAUGUUUUGAGCUGCGUGUAUUUUCUUGUGGAAAUGGUGAUGCUGAGGAAAGCUCUGAUGGAAGUCUGCUGCCAGCAGCUUCGUGGACCUUGGCUUGUAGGUUUAUGCGAAGCUACUUCUUUCUUUUGGAUUUAAAAAGACUAAAGCAGUAUAUUAUAACCAUGUAUGCAACCAGUCCUAAUGUAUGGGAAACAUACAUUGCAGGAUUGAAAGAACUAACUUGUCAUAGUCCAGUGGCUUUAGCGAUGGAAAAUGAAGAUAUGUUGAAAAUACUGAAACAGCUGCAUGACCUGGGGCCUUGGGAUGAUAGCCCACUGUUACUGGUACAUGCUCAAAGGCUUUAUGAAAAAUUUGGGGAAACAGCUCUUCGGCCCUUGAUCAAGUUCCACCCCUCUAUUUUACCUUCUGAUAUCAAACAGCUUUGCAGGAAUGAUCCAGCUCACUUUUUAGCAUAUUUAGAUAGUCUGGUGAAAUCAAAGCCAGAGGAUAAAAGGUCAUCUCUCCUUAGAUCUCUUCUGCAGCCCGAAUCUGUACGGCUGGAUUGGUUGUGCUUGGCAGUUUCUCGUGAUGCACCACAAAGAGCAAAUACUGUGGAUGCGGAAGGAAAUCCCAGGCCACGAUCGCAUUUGUUUACUUGGGGCUACAGCCAGCUCAUUCUACUUUUGAUUAAACUCCCAGCUGAUUUUGUUACAAAAGAGAAGAUGGCUGACAUCUGUAAAUCACAUGGAUUUUGGCCUGGAUAUCUUUUUCUCUGUCUGGAGCUGGAUAGAAGACUAGAAGCCUUUACUAAUAUUGCUCAUUUGGAUGAUUUGAGCCUGUUGAAUGGAGAAGAUGGUUCCAUUCCAGAGACCACAGAAGAAUGGAAGUUUCUUCUUCAUCUUGCACAAAAUCACAGCACAGCUUUCCACCACCAUGGCUCACAGAAUGGGAAUGCUGUCAGCAAUGGUAGCCCGAGCUGCCCAGACUGCAUCACUGUGGAAAAUGUAGCUCUCUUACUGGCAAAGGCCAUCGGCCCAAAUCGUGCCUUGCCUCUCUUGCAGGAGUGUGGCUUGACACUAGAAUUAUCUGAGAGAUUUACUAGUGUUUGUGAGAUACUGAGAAUUGCUGAGAAAAGGCAAAGGCAUUUUAAAAUGGAAAAUGAGGAAACGGGAAAUCAUACAUUAAAAAUGUAUGUGAAGGAUAUUCUCUGAAGGAGAUAUCUGUCUUGCUGAGUCCUGCACAAACUCUGAUAUUGCCUAUCCCCUUCCAGAGAAGGCAUGCAUGAGCGCUGAUUCAGUCCAUGUUGGAAAGGUGUGACCGGUUUUUGUGGUCUCAGCAAGCAUAGAAAACAACUUGGAAAACUUUGGGAACACUUUUUACUGUAAUGAUUGUAUAUUAAAGUGCCUCCUAAACUGAACAGGCUCUUAAAGAGAUUAACUCCUGUCUAAAAGUUCAAUUAUAUUAAGCCAGUCUCUAUCUGGCAGGUAUCUGACUGGGAACUGUUGACGGUUCUUUCGUAUUCCUUUGGAGAUGAGUUUUGAACUGUAGAACUUAAAUCAAAACAAUCCAGUAUUUAUCUUAAAAUUAAGCUCACAGAUUUCUGAGAUUAAAAUUCCUGAAUUUAUUUUCUGAGUCUAUAUAACUUAAGUGUUAAGGAUAUGAGCCCCUAAGUAUUGUAUUAAGGUGUAUAGAAUUUUUUUGUUUGUUUGCAAACAUGAGAAGCAAUUCCUUGGAAAUAUCUAAGCCUGUACUUGUUUAAUUUUCCUGUAAAUGACAUUGACUUUCUCAAGUUACUGUAGAAGUGCUUAUUAUGAUACCUUUUUUUCUUUCUCUUAAAUCGUAUGGACUGGUCUUGCCCAUUUGAAAUGCAUUUAUUGAGUUAAGUCUUAAAAUGGGAGGGAAAUAUUUUUCCAGACUGGAUUAAUAGUUAAGAAUGCUGAUUAACAGAAGAACUUGUUAAAUGAACUCGCUGUUAAACUAUAAGCAUGGUA